UGCCAGCAGCCGCGGUAAUACGAAGGGACCUAGCGUAGUUCGGAAUUACUGGGCGUAAAGCGCGCGUAGGUGGUUUAUUAAGUUGGAUGUGAAAUCCCCGGGCUCAACCUGGGAACUGCAUCCAAAACUGAUUCACUAGAGUACGAUAGAGGGAGGUAGAAUUCACAGUGUAGCGGUGGAAUGCGUAGAUAUUGUGAAGAAUACCAAUGGCGAAGGCAGCCUCCUGGAUCUGUACUGACACUGAGGUGCGAAAGCGUGGGUAGCGAACAGGAUUAGAUA
rnacentral:rRNA from 1 species